rnacentral:lncRNA from 1 species
GGUUGCUUGCAGAACAGACAGACAACCCCAUGGCUGAGAUGCAAACGUGAUGGCAGGUAUUGGAGUAGCUAUUUUGGGCCUCAAAGUGGAAGCCAUGUUUUGGGUGUGGCAGAACAGUGAGUAAAAAUAGCUGGAAUCCUCAACACAAUGGAGCUGCCAUUUGAACCCAGGAGGACUUGGGGCUAAGUAAGAGAGGAGUAACUUUGUAUCCUGUUUUGAUUCUUCAUAAUAGCAACCCAAACCUGUAUCUCAAUCAACAAAUAAUCUCAGCUCCAACCACACUUCCUGUUUGCCCCAUAUUUUUCUUCAACUCUGGUCCUGAGACAUAGCACUGAAUAAGAAUCUCCCUCCCCCAUCUCACUUCCCAGAACCCUGUCCCACAGCCCCCUUGGCCUGGGGACCCACCUCAUAUCUGAAGACAAUAAGAUCCCUGAAUAUGAGCCCUGAGUGAGCUAGGGCAAAUCCCUUAAUAUUUCCUUCCCUCCUUUCCUCCUUCCCUCCUUCCCUCCCUCCUUUCCUUCCUCUUUCUUUCCCUCCUUCUCUCUUUCUUUCUCUCUCUUUUUCUUUUUUUGAGAUGGAGUUUUGCUCUUGUUGCCCAGGCUGGAGUGCAAUGGCGUGAUCUUGGCUCACCACAACUUCUGCCUCGAACUCGAACUACUGACCUCAGGUGAUCCGCCUGCCUUGGCCUCCCAAAGUGCUGGGAUUACAGGUGUGAGCCACUGUGCCGGGGCUCGCUCUUUUCUUUCUUUCUUUCUUUCUUUCUUUCUUUCU